rnacentral:rRNA from 1 species
UACAGAGGUCUCAAGCGUUGUUCGGAUUCAUUGGGCGUAAAGGGUGCGUAGGCGGCGCGGUAAGUCGGGUGUGAAAUCUCGGAGCUUAACUCCGAAACUGCAUUCGAUACUGCCGUGCUUGAGGACUGGAGAGGAGACUGGAAUUUACGGUGUAGCGGUGAAAUGCGUAGAUAUCGUAAGGAAGACCAGUGGCGAAGGCGACACGCUGGGCCGUACCUGACACUGAUGCGCGACAGCAUGGGGAGCAAACAGG